UACGGGGGGGGCAAGCGUUGUUCGGAAUUACUGGGCGUAAAGGGCUCGUAGGUGGCCAACUAAGUCAUACGUGAAAUCCCUCGGCUCAACCGGGGAACUGCGUCCGAUACUGGUGGGCUCGAAUCCGGGAGGGGAUGGUGGAAUUCCCAGUGUAGCGGUGAAAUGCGUAGAUAUUGGGAAGAACACCGGUGGCGAAGGCGACCAUCUGGACCGGAACUGACGCUGAGGCGCGAAAGCCAGGGGAGCGAAUGGG
rnacentral:rRNA from 1 species